ACGGAGGAUGCAAGCGUUAUCCGGAUUCAUUGGGUUUAAAGGGCACGCAGGCUGGAAUGUAAGUCAGUGGUGAAAUACUACGGCUCAACGGUGGAGCUGCCUUUGAUACUGCACAACUUGAGUCCGGGUGAGGGAGGCGGAAUUCCAGGUGUAGGAGUGAAAUCCGUAGAUAUCUGGAGGAACAUCAGUGGCGAAGGCGGCCACCUGGACCGGUAUUGACGCUGAGGUGCGAAAGCGUGGGGAGCAAACAG
rnacentral:rRNA from 1 species